AUUGAACGCUGGCGGCAUGCUUUACACAUGCAAGUCGAACGGUAACAGGCCGCAAGGUGCUGACGAGUGGCGAACGGGUGAGUAAUGCAUCGGAACGUGCCCAGUCGUGGGGGAUAACGCAGCGAAAGCUGCGCUAAUACCGCAUACGAUCUAUGGAUGAAAGCGGGGGACCGUAAGGCCUCGCGCGAUUGGAGCGGCCGAUGUCAGAUUAGGUAGUUGGUGGGGUAAAGGCUCACCAAGCCAACGAUCUGUAGCUGGUCUGAGAGGACGACCAGCCACACUGGGACUGAGACACGGCCCAGACUCCUACGGGAGGCAGCAGUGGGGAAUUUUGGACAAUGGGCGCAAGCCUGAUCCAGCAAUGCCGCGUGCAGGAGAAGGCCUUCGGGUUGUAAACUGCUUUUGUACGGAACGAAACGGUCCUGGUUAAUACCUGGGGCUAAUGACGGUACCGUAAGAAUAAGCACCGGCUAACUACGUGCCAGCCGCCGCCGUAA
rnacentral:rRNA from 1 species